rnacentral:rRNA from 1 species
UACGUAGGCAGCAAGCGUUGUUCGGAGUUACUGGGCGUAAAGGGUGCGUAGGCGGCUUUUUAAGUUUGGUGUGAAAUCUCCCGGCUCAACUGGGAGGGUGCGCCGAAUACUGAGAAGCUAGAGUGUGGGAGGGGAAAGUGGAAUUCCUGGUGUAGCGGUGAAAUGCGUAGAUAUCAGGAGGAACACCGGUGGUGUAAACGGCUUUCUGGACCAUAACUGACGCUGAGGCACGAAAGCGUGGGUAGCAAACAGG